rnacentral:rRNA from 1 species
ACACUAUCAUUAACUGAAUCCAUAGGUUAAUGAGGCGAACCGGGGGAACUGAAACAUCUAAGUACCCCGAGGAAAAGAAAUCAACCGAGAUUCCCCCAGUAGCGGCGAGCGAACGGGGAGCAGCCCAGAGCCUGAAUCAGUGUGUGUGUUAGUGGAAGCGUCUGGAAAGGCGCGCGAUACAGGGUGACAGCCCCGUACACAAAAAUGCACAUGCUGUGAGCUCGAUGAGUAGGGCGGGACACGUGGUAUCCUGUCUGAAUAUGGGGGGACCAUCCUCCAAGGCUAAAUACUCCUGACUGACCGAUAGUGAACCAGUACCGUGAGGGAAAGGCGAAAAGAACCCCGGCGAGGGGAGUGAAAAAGAACCUGAAACCGUGUACGUACAAGCAGUGGGAGCACGCUUAGGCGUGUGACUGCGUACCUUUUGUAUAAUGGGUCAGCGACUUAUAUUCUGUAGCAAGGUUAACCGAAUAGGGGAGCCGAAGGGAAACCGAGUCUUAACUGGGCGUUAAGUUGCAGGGUAUAGACCCGAAACCCGGUGAUCUAGCCAUGGGCAGGUUGAAGGUUGGGUAACACUAACUGGAGGACCGAACCGACUAAUGUUGAAAAAUUAGCGGAUGACUUGUGGCUGGGGGUGAAAGGCCAAUCAAACCGGGAGAUAGCUGGUUCUCCCCGAAAGCUAUUUAGGUAGCGCCUCGUGAAUUCAUCUCCGGGGGUAGAGCACUGUUUCGGCAAGGGGGUCAUCCCGACUUACCAACCCGAUGCAAACUGCGAAUACCGGAGAAUGUUAUCACGGGAGACACACGGCGGGUGCUAACGUCCGUCGUGAAGAGGGAAACAACCCAGACCGCCAGCUAAGGUCCCAAAGUCAUGGUUAAGUGGGAAACGAUGUGGGAAGGCCCAGACAGCCAGGAUGUUGGCUUAGAAGCAGCCAUCAUUUAAAGAAAGCGUAAUAGCUCACUGGUCGAGUCGGCCUGCGCGGAAGAUGUAACGGGGCUAAACCAUGCACCGAAGCUGCGGCAGCGACGCUUAUGCGUUGUUGGGUAGGGGAGCGUUCUGUAAGCCUGUGAAGGUGUACUGUGAGGUAUGCUGGAGGUAUCAGAAGUGCGAAUGCUGACAUAAGUAACGAUAAAGCGGGUGAAAAGCCCGCUCGCCGGAAGACCAAGGGUUCCUGUCCAACGUUAAUCGGGGCAGGGUGAGUCGACCCCUAAGGCGAGGCCGAAAGGCGUAGUCGAUGGGAAACAGGUUAAUAUUCCUGUACUUGGUGUUACUGCGAAGGGGGGACGGAGAAGGCUAUGUUGGCCGGGCGACGGUUGUCCCGGUUUAAGCGUGUAGGCUGGUUUUCCAGGCAAAUCCGGAAAAUCAAGGCUGAGGCGUGAUGACGAGGCACUACGGUGCUGAAGCAACAAAUGCCCUGCUUCCAGGAAAAGCCUCUAAGCAUCAGGUAACAUCAAAUCGUACCCCAAACCGACACAGGUGGUCAGGUAGAGAAUACCAAGGCGCUUGAGAGAACUCGGGUGAAGGAACUAGGCAAAAUGGUGCCGUAACUUCGGGAGAAGGCACGCUGAUAUGUAGGUGAAGCGACUUGCUCGUGGAGCUGAAAUCAGUCGAAGAUACCAGCUGGCUGCAACUGUUUAUUAAAAACACAGCACUGUGCAAACACGAAAGUGGACGUAUACGGUGUGACGCCUGCCCGGUGCCGGAAGGUUAAUUGAUGGGGUCAGCGCAAGCGAAGCUCUUGAUCGAAGCCCCGGUAAACGGCGGCCGUAACUAUAACGGUCCUAAGGUAGCGAAAUUCCUUGUCGGGUAAGUUCCGACCUGCACGAAUGGCGUAAUGAUGGCCAGGCUGUCUCCACCCGAGACUCAGUGAAAUUGAACUCGCUGUGAAGAUGCAGUGUACCCGCGGCAAGACGGAAAGACCCCGUGAACCUUUACUAUAGCUUGACACUGAACAUUGAGCCUUGAUGUGUAGGAUAGGUGGGAGGCUUUGAAGUGUGGACGCCAGUCUGCAUGGAGCCGACCUUGAAAUACCACCCUUUAAUGUUUGAUGUUCUAACGUGGACCCGUAAUCCGGGUUGCGGACAGUGUCUGGUGGGUAGUUUGACUGGGGCGGUCUCCUCCUAAAGAGUAACGGAGGAGCACGAAGGUUGGCUAAUCCUGGUCGGACAUCAGGAGGUUAGUGCAAUGGCAUAAGCCAGCUUGACUGCGAGCGUGACGGCGCGAGCAGGUGCGAAAGCAGGUCAUAGUGAUCCGGUGGUUCUGAAUGGAAGGGCCAUCGCUCAACGGAUAAAAGGUACUCCGGGGAUAACAGGCUGAUACCGCCCAAGAGUUCAUAUCGACGGCGGUGUUUGGCACCUCGAUGUCGGCUCAUCACAUCCUGGGGCUGAAGUAGGUCCCAAGGGUAUGGCUGUUCGCCAUUUAAAGUGGUACGCGAGCUGGGUUUAGAACGUCGUGAGACAGUUCGGUCCCUAUCUGCCGUGGGCGCUGGAGAACUGAGGGGGGCUGCUCCUAGUACGAGAGGACCGGAGUGGACGCAUCACUGGUGUUCGGGUUGUCAUGCCAAUGGCACUGCCCGGUAGCUAAAUGCGGAAGAGAUAAGUGCUGAAAGCAUCUAAGCACGAAACUUGCCCCGAGAUGAGUUCUCCCUGACUCCUUGAGAGUCCUGAAGGAACGUUGAAGACGACGACGUUGAUAGGCCGGGUGUGUAAGCGCAGCGAUGCGUUGAGCUAACCGGUACUAAUGAACCGUGAGGCUUAACCUU